rnacentral:rRNA from 1 species
UACGUAGGGUGCGAGCGUUACUCGGAAUUACUGGGCGUAAAGCGUGCGUAGGCGGUUCGUUAAGUCAGCUGUGAAAGCCCCGGGCUCAACCUGGGAACUGCGGUUGAAACUGGCGAACUAGAAUCUGGCAGAGGGGGGUGGAAUUCCACGUGUAGCAGUGAAAUGCGUAGAGAUGUGGAGGAGCACCGAUGGCGAAGGCAGCCCCCUGGGCUGAGAUUGACGCUCAGGCACGAAAGCGUGGGGAGCAAACAGG